ensembl:lncRNA
CUCACAUUUCACUAUGGUCAGCUAGAUGGCACAAAUCUCUGGUUCAGCUUUGUUAGGUUGCAAAAAUGCAGUUUAGGGAAUUAAGUUUAUAACUAAAAACUUGAUUUGUGCCAUUUUGGGGGACAGUGUUACAUUUCUAUCUUCACCUAAGUGAAUAAGGAUCCUUUAACUCAUCUUUUUGGAAAAUCAGUUUCUCUCUGUCUCUGUGCUCCAGUCUCUGUCUCUGAUUUCUCCUGUCCCAUAAUGGCCGCAGAUCACUAUGAGUAUUAUGAAUGACAGAAAAGGACAAUAUAGGGCUCAGUGGUGCCACAAAUGCCUGGCAAGCACAAGGUCCUGAGUUUGAUUCCAGGUACCACCCCACCCCACCCCCACACAAAGGUAAAGGACGAUAUAGAUGAUAUUGGAAUAUGUAUCUUGAAGGUUGAGCUAUAAAAUGAGUGAAUAAAAUAAUCUUAAUUUAAGACCUCUCUAUUAACUUUUUGGUACUUCUUCAUUUCCACAGGUUGGUUUCAUCUCUGGUUUGCUUGACUUUUACAGGCACACACACUGUUGGGAAGUCAUCUGUUUUUGUUGCUCAGGCUCACCAGGGACUUUAUUUGAAGAUUUCUAAGAGACUGAAAACUUACAAGCUAUGAAGUUGCCUAAGGAAGAUUUUUAUAUAUUUUAUAGUCUGUCAUGACGUCAGCAAGCAUGUGGAUACAGCCUGAAAGGGAAUGUUGUUGCUGCGCUGGAUACAGAACUCAGUUUACCUUGAGAAAAGUUUUAGUUUUAAAAAGUCUGAUGAAAAGUUUAUUACAUUUCUAGAAAAGGAAAGAACUUCUUUUUUUAUCUCAUCAACCACCCCCAGCCACCACUUUUCCCAGUCACCCACCUCUGGUCUUGGUGUCCACCCUGCAGUUUUCCCCUUAGGAUCACUAAGUAACGUACAGUGGAACUGUUUGUGUACAGUCUGAGCUCAUGCUGUGUGUGCGUGCGUGCGUGCGUGCGUGCGUGUGUGUGUUGCUAUUACCCCUUGUUGUAAGGUGAUCUUCAUACAUAGUUUGGCUCUUACAAAAGAUGAAUCUUUUGUGGCAAAAGUUCCCUGAACAUAAUCCAAUGUAUCUCUGAGUAAUUGACUCCCCAAAGACCAUAGAGUCAGAUGCGGCCAGAUGCUAGACUUUGAGUCCCUACGCCAAGAAUUUGACAUUCACUCCUGCUACCACCAUGCCACUCCUCAGGUACUUACACAAUGUUGAAGGACCUUUUGGUUUUGAUUUUUGUUUUCAUUUGAGCUAAUCGUUUUUAACUUCUUGGAAUAAAGGGAAUGGCUUAAAUUCACUAAAAAAGAAAAUAGGACAAACUGAGCCCAAAACAAAACAACCCUACUUCUCAUGCAACACAGGCCCAUGCAACUGCUGCAUGUUUUCCUUGUGCUGCUGCUUUCCAUCUUCUAACUAAUGCUUAGUAUUUAAGAUACGUAGUGGCUUCUUUCCCUGAAGGCCUUGAAAUAGUCUCAGGCUCUCCACCCCCACCCCCGUCUCUCUCCAGCUUUAUACUUUAUAAAACACCUGAAAACACAGAGGCAAAAGAUAGUAUUUUUAAUAGGUCUGAGUUUAGGGGUCUGGAAGUCUCCAAGACCAGCCUCCAGCCUCCACGUCAGUGUUGGUAAGGUGCCUUGGGUGCGGCUUUUAUUUCAAAGAGUAAAAAAGCACCUUUCUCAUUUGGCUCCUGAAAAAAUGAUUUCCAUAAAAAUAUACUUCACAGUAUUUUCACAAUAUAAAUACAUAUUUUUGACUCUUUGGCAUCAAACUAAAAAUAUCUAACCUUUUCAAUGAAUGGUAGAUUCAGUUUCAUGUGACUUCUUACUGACCAUUAAUAAACAGCAUCUGUGUGUAGCUUCGUAUAUAUGGCAAAACAGAAAUCAGUAUAAAGUCACUUUCAUUGCAGUCCAGAAAGUACCAGUCUAGUAAUCUUAGGGGUGUGCAUUAGUGUAAAUAAUACAUAGGCCAUCUAGGUCAAUUGUUUUUCUUUAAAAAUUAAACAUAGUAUUUUGCCUAAGAUAUUCAAAUAUUCUGCCCUCUAAAUGUUGAGGUAUAAAAUGUAAGAUAUUCUUCAGCUUUAAUUAUUUUUUAAUUUUAUUCAAGUCAGAGCACUUUUUAUAGCAAUAUAGCUGCCAAGAGAAUAUUCCAAAAUAUUUAAAAUUGUAUUUAUACCGAGAGUACAUUUUAAAUAUUUUCUCAUACUUGAGCAGUUUUUGUCUGGCUUUCUUCCAAAUAUGCCAAAAGUUAAGCAUUCAAUGUUUUCAACACAUAAGCUUUUUACUGGUUUGUACUAUCUGAUGAGAAUUCUCCAGAGUUCCCAAAGCAACUGAUGUUUACAGCUCUUGUGUUUUUCCUCCUUCUUUGAAGGAUCAGGGAUCCAUGAUGAACUCACUGUACAGAACACUAAUAACAGAUACAGCUUCUUGAUGUAAUAAAUGCGUUGGCUACCACCUUGAUGUAAAAACUUCGUAAAGGAAAAUUUUCAAUGUUUUGAAUGUCAACUGUAUUUUUAACUGUCUGGUUUGUACUUUUACAACUUUUGUACUACCAAAGAAGAGUUAAGAAUAAAAACCUUAAACACC